UACAGAGGUCUCGAGCGUUAGGCGGAAUCACUGGGCUUAAAGCGUGUGUAGGUGGAUCGUUAAGUACCUUGUGAAAUCCCUCGGCUUAACCGGGGAACUGCGUCUGAUACUGGAUGGCUUGAGGUUGGGAGAGGGAUGCGGAAUUCCAGGUGUAGCGGUGAAAUGCGUAGAUAUCUGGAGGAACACCGGUGGCGAAGGCGGCAUCCUGGACCAUUACUGACACUGAAAAGCGAAAGCCAGGGGAGCAAACGGG
rnacentral:rRNA from 1 species